UUUAGUUAAUUAUUAAUUGAUUUUAAUUGAUUAAUUAAUUAGAUUUAAUUGUUCCUUUUGAUUUAAAAAUUCUGAAAAAUAGUUUCGAGCUUUGAAUUAUUUUUCUAAAAUAUGUUCGAGGCUCGUUAAUUGAUUUCAAAUAAUUUUGGACCCGAUCUUGAGCAAUCGGACUUGAUUAUUUAUUCAAAAAUGGAUUCUUUUACCCGUUUUAAUUCCGAAAAAUGUCUAGAAAUUCCAGAAAAUUCCUGAAAAAUCAUUUUUAACCUGAGACUUGAUUUGACAUCAAUUGGGAUGGGAGACCUUAUAUGAAAAAUGUUGUCUGCUAUCUGUUUGAUAUGUUAUGUGCCAAUAGGAGAGUUAGAAAACGGUUUUGCUUAUAACUUUUGAUCGGUAAUUCAGAAUGGAGUGAAACGGAAAAGAGAUUAAAGCUUAUACAGCCUAUUUUAAUAUGACAUAAUAAUAUGGUGG
rnacentral:lncRNA from 1 species